CAGAGGUCCCGAGCGUUGUUCGGAUUCACUGGGCGUAAAGGGUGCGUAGGUGGUUGGGCAAGUCUGAUGUGAAAUCUCCGGGCUUAACCCGGAAAUGGCAUUGGAAACUGCCUGGCUAGAGUGUUGGAGGGGGGACUGGAAUUCUCGGUGUAGCAGUGAAAUGCGUAGAUAUCGAGAGGAACACCAGUGGCGAAGGCGAGUCCCUGGACAACGACUGACACUGAGGCACGAAAGCUAGGGGAGCAAACAGGAUUAGAUACCCUGGUAGUCCUAGCCGUAAACGGUGCUUGCUUGCUGUAAAAGGAAUCGACCCCUUUUGUGGCGAAGCCAACGCGAUAAGCAAGCCGCCUGGGAAGUACGGUCGCAAGAUUA
rnacentral:rRNA from 1 species